rnacentral:rRNA from 1 species
UACAGAGGAUGCAAGCGUUAUCCGGAAUGAUUGGGCGUAAAGCGUCUGUAGGUGGCUUUUCAAGUCCGCCGUCAAAUCCCAGGGCUCAACCCUGGACAGGCGGUGGAAACUACCAAGCUGGAGUACGGUAGGGGCAGAGGGAAUUUCCGGUGGAGCGGUGAAAUGCGUAGAGAUUGGAAAGAACACCGAUGGCGAAGGCACUUUACUGGGCUAUUACUAACACUCAGAGACGAAAGCUAGGGUAGCAAAUGGG